ensembl:lncRNA
GGAAUAGUUACUGUUUGGAGACAGAGGGAUUAGAGAGAUGUCUGCAACACAUUGAGGCCCAUGGAUGCAGUAUUCAAACCCUGGCCACUGACAGGCAUCCAAGUGUGAGGGUGACCUUGAGGGACUCACCUGCUGAUAUCUGGCAUGAGCAUGACCUGUGACCUGGUGGCCGUUGGGAAGCCAGAGGACAAUCCCAGCAGACUCUCCUGAGUGCCCAAAGAGAGAGAGUGCCCAUCACUUUGGGGCGGUGGGCUGGUGUUCCGAAAAUGGAUAAGGAGCAGGCCAUUCAACAGCGAAUUCAAAGAUACACACAUCUAUAAAUACAUAAAUGUACAGUGCCUUGCAAAAGUAUUCCUCCCCCAUGGCGUUUUUCCUAUUUUGUUGCAUUACAACCUGUAAUUUAAAUAGAUUUUUAUUUGGAUUUCAUGUAAUGGACAUACACAAAAUAGUCCAUAUUGGUGAAUUUCAAUGAAAAAAAUUACUUGUUUAAAAAAAUUCCUAAAAAUAAAAAACUGAAAAGUGGUGCGUGCAUAUGUAUUCACCCCUUUGCUAUGAAGCCCCUAAAUAAGAUCUGGUGCAACCAAUUACCU